CAGCAGCCGCGGUAAUACGAGGGGGGCAAGCGUUGUUCGGAAUUAUUGGGCGUAAAGGGUGCGUAGGCGGUUUGGCAAGUUUGGUGUGAAAUCUUCGGGCUCAACUCGAAGUCUGCAUCGAAAACUGCCGGGCUUGAGUAUGGGAGAGGUGAGUGGAAUUUCCGGUGUAGCGGUGAAAUGCGUAGAUAUCGGAAGGAACACCUGUGGCGAAAGCGGCUCACUGGACCAUAACUGACGCUGAUGCACGAAAGCGUGGGGAGCAAACAGGAUUAGAGACCCCCGUAGUCCCUGUCUCUUACAC
rnacentral:rRNA from 1 species